CCUUCUUGGGGCAGCCAGUACAAUGGAGAGAGUGCUAGACCUGGAGUUGGAAGACCUGGGUUCAAAUCUGACCUCAGACUCUUCUAGUUGUGUGGACAAAGUUACCCAACCCAAUUGUGUAGCCUUUGCUGCUCUUCUGCCUUAGAAUUUAUCCUAAGCCAGAAGGUGAGGCUUUGCCAAAAAGAGAAUUUCCUUCUCUCAGAGAGACAGAGCUUUGAGUGUGGCCCAUUGCAUUUACUGGGAUGGUUUUGGCUUUAUUCCUUUUUUUCACAUUUUGGUUAUAGGGAAUGAAUAUCAGGGAAGGGAUUGGGGAAGGAUCUUUUAUUCAUCAAAUAUGAUGUAACCAUGAAAGGCAUCAAGACAAAUAUUGUCUUUAGAGGGGACACAAAGACAGAAACUUUUUGUCCCUCUCUGCUGGCCUUCAGGCAUGGCAGCAAUCCUAUGAACUGGCCAACAGCCCCGCCAUUUUUCUCGAGGUCAAUGAGAAGGCUAAAUAAGGGCGGGUUAAAAUCAGGCUAGGGGUGGCUUGUAGCCCAGUUGCAUUACCCCAGCUCAGGUACUAAGCAGAAGGAAGGUUGCUAGGAGAUAGGCCUGCCACCUCACAAAGGGCCCCUCCCGUGAUGUCACAAGCAAGAAGGGUAUUUCUAGGGCUGCGGUGCUGCCCAGCUUCAUAACACUCAGUUUUUUACACCUUGUGUAUCUCCCGUGGCUGGGAGCACAGAAACAUGUCAAGAGUCCGGAACAACUACCAACAGAUCCUCAGGAGCCGGAGGAGGGGGGAACAAGAGCACCUACGCAACACCCGGACACAGGCCACAGGCCAGCCCCAGUUGAGGCCCGUAUUCUGGGUUUUGUCACACAGAAGGGGAAGAACUCUUCCACAGCCUGAUGACAUAAUUGGCUUCUUAGAAGUCACUAUGACAGUCUACCUCUAAGUCAUCUUAAAGAACAUCACCAAGAAUACAAAUGCCAAAUCCAUCUAUCCUGAUUCAACAACUCCAACAAAAAGAUCUUCACCAGGAGCUUUGCAUUCUUCAUGAAAAAAUGUCAGAGGUUAGAUGUCAUCAUAUUGGGGGAUAUGCGGAAAGAUUGACAUUUGCAUAAAAGAACAGCAAGACCUCUAGAGACCAACAAUAAAGCCCCCUCCGACCUAA